AGAGUUUGAUCAUGGCUCAGGAUGAACGCCGGCGGUGUGCCUCAUACAUGCAAGUCGUACGCACUGGCCCAACUGAUUGAUGGUGCUUGCACCUGAUUGACGAUGGAUCACCAGUGAGUGGCGGACGGGUGAGUAACACGUAGGCAACCUGCCCCGGAGCGGGGGAUAACAUUUGGAAACAGAUGCUAAUACCGCAUAACAACAAAAGUCACAUGGCUUUUGUUUGAAAGAUGGCUUUGGCUAUCACUCUGGGAUGGACCUGCGGUGCAUUAGCUAGUUGGUAAGGUAACGGCUUACCAAGGCGAUGAUGCAUAGCCGAGUUGAGAGACUGAUCGGCCACAAUGGAACUGAGACACGGUCCAUACUCCUACGGGAGGCAGCAGUAGGGAAUCUUCCACAAUGGGCGCAAGCCUGAUGGAGCAACACCGCGUGAGUGAAGAAGGGUUUCGGCUCGUAAAGCUCUGUUGUUGGAGAAGAACGUGCGUGAGAGUAACUGUUCACGCAGUGACGGUAUCCAACCAGAAAGUCACGGCUAACUACGUGCCAGCAGCCGCGGUAAUACGUAGGUGGCAAGCGUUAUCCGGAUUUAUUGGGCGUAAAGCGAGCGCAGGCGGUUGCUUAGGUCUGAUGUGAAAGCCUUCGGCUUAACCGAAGAAGUGCAUCGGAAACCGGGCGACUUGAGUGCAGAAGAGGACAGUGGAACUCCAUGUGUAGCGGUGGAAUGCGUAGAUAUAUGGAAGAACACCAGUGGCGAAGGCGGCUGUCUGGUCUGUAACUGACGCUGAGGCUCGAAAGCAUGGGUAGCGAACAGGAUUAGAUACCCUGGUAGUCCAUGCCGUAAACGAUGAGUGCUAGGUGUUGGAGGGUUUCCGCCCUUCAGUGCCGGAGCU
rnacentral:rRNA from 1 species